UGCGUGUCUCGCCAAGCCAAAGUCCAAGAUCUACAGAUCAACAGAGGAGGGAGAUGGUGAGGGAAGGAAAAGAGAUCCUGCAGGCAAAAGAGAACCUGUUUCCAUGAGGAUAUGAAGUAGAUCCCAUCAGAGAGCUAUAGCCUCACCGCUACACCAGAGCCACCCCAGCCAAUGGUUCUAACAGGUAUCUCUGGCUUUAGACUGGCCCCUUUUCAAAUCAACUCAUGGGAUUGGUUCUCAGCAUGACACACUUCCUUCUUCAAGUGCAAAAUCUGCCAUUGUCCUGGACAACGAUGGAACCUAUAGCGAACACAAACCCCACAAAAACCCCACCAAAAAACCCCACCAAAAACUUACAAGUCCUGGAAUCCACUGAAGGAGGUGGCUGAGGUGAAGACAUCAAGCAACCCAAUGACCUGCAGGAUAAGUGGGUAAAUGUAAGACUGGAAAGUACACACACUGGAAGAGUGGUAUUCUCUGUAACAGCUUGCAACUCAAGAGUCACAGGUCAGUGACACUUUAGGAUUCCAUGUGAGGGAUUUGGACUCUCAUCAAUGGGUUUUACGGCUAUUUCCUCUCUUACAAACAGACCGAACAUUUGUCUGUGCUGCAAGUCCAACUUCACUUUUGGAGCAAUAGCAGGGUGGCAGCAACAAAGAACCCAUGGAAAUGAGAACUGAACACGGAAACUGAAUCCUCCUCUAAACUCCAAAAAGGGUGGGGUCCCUCUACAUCAGGCUGGGUGUCCAUUGGCUAUUGCUGAGGGCAUUCUGUGCCAAAACAAUUAAAAAUUCUGUGCUUAAAAAAAAUAAAUUCUGCUCACAAUA